rnacentral:rRNA from 1 species
AUGCGGGAAACCGUGAUAAGGGAACCCCGAGUGCCCGUAAAUUCGGGCUGUCCAUCAGCGUAAAUAACUGGUGAAGAAAGGGCCGGGCAAGACCGGUGCCAGCCGCCGCGGUAAUACCGGCGGCUCGAGUGGUGGCCACUUUUACUGGGCUUAAAGCGUCCGUAGCUUGGUUGUUAAGUCUCUUGGGAAAUCUACCGGCUCAACCGGUAGGCGUUCAGGAGAUACUGGCAAUCUAGGGACCGGGAGAGGUGAGAGGUACUCCAGGGGUAGGAGUGAAAUCCUGUAAUCCUUGGGGGACCACCUGUGGCGAAGGCGUCUCACUAGAACGGCUCCGACAGUGAGGGACGAAAGCUGGGGGAGCAAACCGGAUUAGAUACCCGGGUAGUCCCAGCUGUAAACGAUGCGCGUUAGGUGUAUCGGUGACCACGAGUCACCGAGGUGCCGAAGGGAAACCGUGAAACGUGCCGCCUGGGAAGUACGGUCGCAAGGCUG